CGGGAUGCAAACUAAGAUCAAUCCCUGGUGGUUGCAGCCGUUGCAAGAGAAUGUGGCAGCUUCUUGAGCUUCAUUCACGUAUUUGCGUAGACUCGGAACAAUGUAAAGUCCCUCUUUGCAGUAACUUCAAGGAGAGGAUGAAGACACAGAGCAGGAAAGAUGAGAAAAGAUGGAAACUUCUAGUGAAGAAUGUUUUGAGCACUAAGAGGAUUGGAGGAUCCCCAUACUUUUUGCAGGCAAUUGAUGUUACUCUAUGACAUUAUUUUAUCGCUUAUCGAUACAAAAUUGCAUAUUUUACACAUGUAUAUAGGUUACAGAUUCUUUGUAAAGAUAGAUCCGAUAUUCAAAAUUCAGCGUCUGAAAACAACCUCACUUUCAAACCAGGUUUGGCUUGUGAGCACGCUGACCUAAAGGCACUCAAACACACAAUCCUUUAAUCUCUCGUUACCGAAAACAAUUUUCAAGGAACAGAACAUACCUUGUUAUUUACAUGAUGAGUGGUCAUUAGCUCAUAGAGUUUACGCAUCAUCAUCUCAUGUUCAACCUGUUUAAUGAUCUCUGAUAUUUAAUUACAUGACAACAAGAUCAUUAAAAAAGAGUUCUAAGUAUAUACAUCUACUACAUCAUGAUGGUUGCUAAUUAGCUAUAGCGUUUUGGUCUUGGGAGAGACAAUAGAAUGAAGCACAUUAGGGAAAAGAAUUCGCGCAGAGACUAGAAAAUUG
rnacentral:lncRNA from 1 species